rnacentral:rRNA from 1 species
UACGUAGGGUGCAAGCGUUGUCCGGAAUUAUUGGGCGUAAAGAGCUCGUAGGCGGUCUGUUACGUCCGCUGUGAAAACCCAGGGCUUAACCCUGGGCUUGCAGUGGAUACGGGUAGACUAGAGGCAGGUAGGGGAGAAUGGAAUUCCCGGUGUAGCGGUGAAAUGCGCAGAUAUCAGGAGGAACACCGAUGGCGAAGGCAGCUCGCUGGGACGGUACUGACGCUGAGGCGCGAAAGCGUGGGGAGCGAACAGG